GCAGGAGAAUAGAUGCUUGUGUAUAUUAAUUAGAAUCUUAGAUGCUUCUACUCUGCAUACUUGCGUUGGCAUUUUAAUGCAUCAUCUUAAUAUGAAUCCAAAAGGCAGAGGAGAUUAUACCGCCUCCUCCAGGCGCUACUUAUGUUCCGACUCUUUGCAAGCAAUGUAGAACUCAAAUUUUUCGAUGUCUUGGAGUGCUAAAAGUCAAAAGCUAAUGACAGUACUCUAGGGAAGCAACUCUGGAUAAAACAAAAUAGUUGUAUCAUAGGACAACAGAUGUCCCAAUUUCUGGAAAUGAUGUUUGAAUAGUUAUUUUCUUGAGUUUUGAUUUCAGAUUUUCUAUUCAAGUUACAAGGAACAACUUACUUAUCACUUAACAACUUUGGCUCUUAUAGGUAGCUGAUGAGUUCUUCAAUUGCUAAGGCAAUUGGGGCAGUUAGUAAUAUUCCGAAGUACCAAAAAAAAUUGGGGCAGCUAGUUGCAUGAUCAAGAAACCAAGUGAUGGGAAGCUGAUUGGCUAUAACAUGGACUAUAUUGGAUCUAUUGAGGAAGCACUAGGAGGUUGCUUGUAUUUGAGCUAUCCGUAGUUUGAAAUUCGGGUAUGUGGUUGGCUUUGGAAGCAGAAAGGGUAUAAGCUCGUCAAAGAAGUAAUCUUCAAGUAAAGAAAAUCUACAGAAUGAGAUGGUUGGCCUAGUACAUGAUUACAUUUUCAGGAAAGGGGAAUUACAUUAGUUUUUUUCAAUGAGUCUAAUUAGUCGGACUCUUUUAUGUAAUUUUUUAUCAUCUCUUUUAUGUACUUUGUGUUGGGAAAUUGUUUCCCAAGCUAAUGUAAUGAAUCUUUAUUCAAUGGUUGAAUUGUUUAUUGUA